UUUCCGUAGGUGAACCUGCGGAAGGAUCAUUACUGAGUGAGGGCCCUCUGGGUCCAACCUCCCACCCGUGUUUAUUGUACCUUGUUGCUUCGGUGCGCCCGCCUCACGGCCGCCGGGGGGCUUCUGCCCCCGGGUCCGCGCGCACCGGAGACACCAUUGAACUCUGUCUGAAGGUUGCAGUCUGAGCAUAAACUAAAUAAGUUAAAACUUUCAACAACGGAUCUCUUGGUUCCG
rnacentral:misc_RNA from 1 species